rnacentral:lncRNA from 1 species
UCAUGGAUGCUUCCUACCCCUCUGCUUCUCUUCUUCCAUCGGCCUUCCUAGUCCCCCGCCCCACCCGAAAGGCAAUUGAAACAAAAGAAAGAAAAAAUAAAGAAAACAGCAUUCUCUCUGGUACUGAAAAUUCCUUAAAUUAUUAUUUCUGUCUUGACCAAAUGAUUAUCUGCAUUAUUUUAACCAAGAAACAUUUGAUUACUC